UGGCCACAUCUCAUUGAAACACUGAUUCCCAUAUGAUCACCAAAGUUAAGCAACAUUGAACUUGUUCAGUACCUAGAUGGGUGACCAUUUACAAAUACCAGGUACUGUAAG